rnacentral:lncRNA from 1 species
UGGCAGCAAAUUCAAGAGAUCCUAUGACAUUGUUGGUGACGUGGCACCGCUUUGUAAAGGCUGAGAACAACAAAGGUUGAUGAGGACAACACUUCUGCCACCUACAGCCGGAGACUAGAUGGUCCGCACCUGCCCCUGUGCUUGCUUCUACCUGAGUCUCUCGCCUUUUGUCACAAGGUACAGAAUAUCUUUAGAAGAGGAGGACCUGAUGUUUAUUCCUUUCCCAAAUCAAAGCGUCAGCUGAGAUACAAGGGGGAAGGAGUCCAUGAGAUAGGAAACUUGGCACCUAUACUAUGUUGGGCCUGAGGCGAUACCUGAACUCCCAUCCAAGUCCAAGAUCUGCAAGUCUCCCUCUUCUGACCCAAGUCUGUCCUACUUCUACCGUUUCUAGGUGUUUGUUUGGCAUUAAAGAGGCGAAUAGAAGAGGUGUGUGCCAUCUCUAGAUGGCCGUAAAACCAUGUGCUUCCCUGUAUGCCCUAUGCACUGGAAUGAUAGUAAUGGAUGAUGAAAUGACGGUAAUCUCAGCCACCUUGAAAGCCAACCUUGAAAGUUGUAGAAUGUGGCAGAGCCGGAUCAGUCCAGGCCCUGUCUACCAAUAUGGCAUGAUAUUUUUUUCCCCUGCCCGCACACCAAUAAAUUAGAACAGCUUCCUGGACUGUGCUUUAAGAAAGAAAUAAACAUCUAUUCUGU